GCACUGCUGAGGAGUCUCACAACAGAACGAAACGGCUUUCCAGUGC
rfam:Schistosoma haematobium scaffold90_9, whole genome shotgun sequence.